rnacentral:miRNA from 1 species
GGUCGGGGUCGGGGUCGGGGUCGGGGUCGGGGUCGGGGUCGGGGCCGGGGCCGGGGCGGGGGCCGAGCCGGCGGGG